rnacentral:rRNA from 1 species
GAAUUGACGGGGGCCCGCACAAGCGGUGGAGCAUGUGGUUUAAUUCGAUGCAACGCGAAGAACCUUACCUGGUCUUGACAUCCACGGAAGUUUUCAGAGAUGAGAAUGUGCCUUCGGGAACCGUGAGACAGGUGCUGCAUGGCUGUCGUCAGCUCGUGUUGUGAAAUGUUGGGUUAAGUCCCGCAACGAGCGCAACCCUUAUCCUUUGUUGCCAGCGGUCCGGCCGGGAACUCAAAGGAGACUGCCAGUGAUAAACUGGAGGAAGGUGGGGAUGACGUCAAGUCAUCAUGGCCCUUACGACCAGGGCUACACACGUGCUACAAUGGCGCAUACAAAGAGAAGCGACCUCGCGAGAGCAAGCGGACCUCAUAAAGUGCGUCGUAGUCCGGAUUGGAGUCUGCAACUCGACUCCAUGAAGUCGGAAUCGCUAGUAAUCGUGGAUCAGAAUGCCACGGUGAAUACGUUCCCGGGCCUUGUACACACCG